ACUGGUCAGAUAUACUCACGGAGGGCUGCUGUCACCUGUCAUCACUGCUGGACAGAUGAUUUCAACACAGACAUUACAAGUGGUCCAGCCUCUUCAUAAGCCUGCACUAAAGACACUGAAGCUUGUGAUCACCCGUGUCAGGACAAGGAAUGGCAUCUCCCUAACAGGACUCAAGAGCCUUUGCCAUUAUCUGUGGUAUUAAGCAGGUUUCAAUUAGGAUUUUAGGUGGAUUUUUUUCUUUGUUCCGCAGAAGUUUUAAUCAAGGCAGAAAAACUCUGACGCCUCAUUCUCCUCACAACAGUCAGUCACCAAAGCGUUGCAUUUUUCUUCCUGAAGCUUCCCCUCCCUCGGGCACAUUUUUAGCAAAAAAGAUGAGAUCCCAAGCUCUCCAGAUGUUGCCUCUCAGAUGUGCCUCAGCACGCAUCUCAGAGCCAUCUGGCCGCAGCAACAGCUGGACUGCUUCCAAGUGGAAGUGCUCACAGAUCUAGCUGUCCUGGGCUGCCUUUCUCCACGGUAGCAGGCAGAGGGAGCCAAGCAGAGAUGGGAGCUCUAGGAGAUUUUCCCACUGAUGCCCCUAGGCACCCCAGUCCUGGGCAGCCUCUUCUCAGACUGCCAAGGAGCCACCAUUGCAACUGAUGGCCUCGUCCUGUGAGAACAACCAUGCGUCAGGCACUGGCUAUACGGACUGAGAAGCUGAAAACUGAUCAGAGUCAAGCUGAGCCUAUUGACCGCUUUCCAUGUCCACAGAGAUAAACACGAACAAACCUAAGAUAAAACCCCACUGAGUGCACUUCCCUGGGACCAUUUCGAGAGCUUCCGACCUCUGGGAACACAUAUGUGAGCCAGCAGGAUGGCCACAUCACCCACAGGGCAGUGUAGAGGUGGAUGCCAAACGCAGAGAAACUGAGUCAUAAAUGCCUGUAACUCUUCCUGUGGGUGUGAGGAUCCUAUCUCUCAACCCAGCUUGAAUGGGAUUUGUUUCUGCAACUGGAAUAAUCUUAAAUUAUCCAUUCUGACACCAGAGACUCAGCACUUUCAGUUUCAGAGUUCAUCAUGAUGGUGGGAAACAUGGCAGCAUGCAGGAAGACAUGGUACUGGAAGAGCCAAGACUUCUACAUCUUGAUUUGAAAGCAGCCAGGAAGAGGGACUAUCUUGCAUAGGGAUCCAGGAGUGGACUCUUUUCCACACUGGGUAGGACCUGAGCAUAAAAGUCUCAAAGCUCACCUCUACAGUGACAUGCUUCCUCCAACAAGGUCACACCUACUUCAACAAGGUCAUACCUCCUCAUAGUGCUACUCCCUGGGCUAAGCAUAUUCAAACUAUCACAAAUAUGAAGUAGUUAGAUGUCAUUUACAAUGAAGGUUGAAACUUAUCAAAGGGAAUAUAAGUCAAUUUCCUCCUGGUGAGACACCAGAUUUUAUAAAUUUAUUUUUAGUUUUCAUUUGCUCUGUUACAACAACCUGACUUUAUUAGGAGGUAGAACCUGGUUGGUUGAAGUAGGACACUGAGGAUGUAUCUGGACCCAUGUCCCUGCCCCUCCUAUUUUCUGAUUACUGUCCGUCACAAGUGGGUGCCUUACCUUAUCACAUAGUCUUACAGCCCUGAAGUUUUGACUCACCACAGGCUCUUCCUCUAACUGAGCUGAAAACUCACACCAGUACCCUGGAGAUGGACUUGGGGUUACUGGAACCUCUGUCUGGUCCUCCUCCCAGUGCACAUUGAUGAACUCACCCAUUUUUUGAUUUUCACCAUUGCCUCUCUCUUUAAUCAGUGUACUGGGGAUGAGUGGCCAAGCAGAACCUGAGAUUUUUGCCCUAAAAUUCUUGUUACAAAAGUUCUAAAACUGUGAGAUAAAUCUUUCUUUCAAGCUGUU
rnacentral:lncRNA from 1 species